GAAGCAGUGCAGGCUAUGCAACGCAACAGCAGCAGCCACAGGCAUCUCUGCGGCUAGAAAGAGCAUCACCAGAGUUUUAGAAUCCGAUGAUCGGGCGACCCACUUGGGCCAGUCACCCUGUCUUCCCCAAAAAGGGAAAGCAGAGGGCGGAGAGCCCUUUAUCUGAUCACGAUUCCACCCCCGGAGGGUCCCUACCUCCGUUCUGCCAGAAGACCCUCGAGACUCACAAUCGAAAGGAUCUCCUGCAUCAAAGGUUCCAGGAGAUGAACC
rnacentral:lncRNA from 1 species